AAAACAAAGAGAACGUUACCUGCGCUCUGGCCGAUUUAGGCCAGAGCGCAGGUAACGUUCUCUUUGUUUUU